rnacentral:miRNA from 1 species
UGAUGGGGAAUGAAGAUGAA